rnacentral:tRNA from 2 species
GGCUCCAUAGCUCAGGGGAUAGAGCACCGCUCUCCUAAAGCGGGUGUCGCAGGUUCGAAUCCUGCUGGGGCCGCCC